AAGUUACUCCCUCCGUUCUAAAUUACUCGUCGCAGAAAUGGAUGUAUCUAGAACUAAAAUACAUCUAGAUACAUCUAUUUCUGCGACGAGUAAUUCGGAACGGAGGGAGUAUAAG
rfam:Triticum urartu cultivar G1812 contig150957, whole genome shotgun sequence.